rnacentral:rRNA from 1 species
AUUGAACGCUGGCGGCAUGCUUUACACAUGCAAGUCGAACGGCAGCGCGGGCUUCGGCCUGGCGGCGAGUGGCGAACGGGUGAGUAAUAUAUCGGAACGUACCCAAGAGUGGGGGAUAACGUAGCGAAAGUUACGCUAAUACCGCAUACGAUCUAAGGAUGAAAGCAGGGGAUCGCAAGACCUUGUGCUCCUGGAGCGGCCGAUAUCUGAUUAGCUAGUUGGUGGGGUAAAGGCCCACCAAGGCAACGAUCAGUAGCUGGUCUGAGAGGACGACCAGCCACACUGGAACUGAGACACGGUCCAGACUCCUACGGAGGCAGCAGUGGGAAUUUGGACAAUGGGCGCAAGCCUGAUCCAGCAAUGCCGCGUGAGUGAAGAAGGCCU